rnacentral:rRNA from 1 species
GGACUACUCGGGUUUCUAAUCCUGUUUGCUCCCCACGCUUUCGCACCUGAGCGUCAGUCUUCGUCCAGGGGGCCGCCUUCGCCACCGGUAUUCCUCCAGAUCUCUACGCAUUUCACCGCUACACCUGGAAUUCUACCCCCCUCUACGAGACUCUAGCUUGCCAGUUUCAAAUGCAGUUCCCAGGUUGAGCCCGGGGAUUUCACAUCUGACUUAACAAACCGCCUGCGUGCGCUUUACGCCCAGUAAUUCCGAUUAACGCUUGCACCCUCCGUAUUACCGCGGCUGCUGGCAC